GACGAACGCUGGCGGCGUGCUUAACACAUGCAAGUCGAACGGAAAGGCCCUGCUUGCAGGGUACUCGAGUGGCGAACGGGUGAGUAACACGUGGGUGAUCUGCCCUGCACUUCGGGAUAAGCCUGGGAAACUGGGUCUAAUACCGGAUAGGAGCCAUUUUUAGUGUGAUGGUUGGAAAGUUUUUUCGGUGUAGGAUGAGCUCGCGGCCUAUCAGCUUGUUGGUGGGGUAAUGGCCUACCAAGGCGGCGACGGGUAGCCGGCCUGAGAGGGUGGACGGCCCAAAUGGGGCUAGGGAACGGCCCAGGCCUCCAAGGGGGGCAAGGGGGGGGAAAUUUUGCACAAGGGGGGCAGGCCUGAGGCAGCGCCGCCGGGGGGGGGAGGACGGCCUUGGGGUUGAAAACCUCUUUCAGCAGGAAAGAACGGAAGGGGCCGGUACGUGCAAAAGAAGCCCCGGCUAACUACGG
rnacentral:rRNA from 1 species